AGCUUUGACAAAUUUCUGAUGAAGAUCUACAGUCCAAACUACUCUAGCUUUCUUCAUAGAAGAAGAAUCAACACAUCUUGAAUCGGACAUUUCUCUUUCAUCGUGCUUAUUCUCAAAAUCUUUUCUUUUCUUUCCUGAAAGGAUUUCAGCUCCAUUAAGAAUCCACAAUUCAUCAUAUUGGUCCAAUUCAUGAUUACCAAUAUCCCUUGCCUCCUGCAUCUUUUUUCUGAGUACAUGCUGCCAUAUGUUUCUAAGUUCUUUCAUCCGUAUAGGCUUUAAAAGAUAAUCGCAUGCACCAUGUUGAACACCCUUCAUCACCCUGCUUGUUUCACCAUCCACAGACAUCAUUAUGACAGGAAGAUCCAUCUCAAGUCCA
rnacentral:misc_RNA from 1 species